rnacentral:rRNA from 1 species
UACAGAGGUCCCGAGCGUUGUUCGGAUUCACUGGGCGUAAAGGGUGCGUAGGUGGUGGGGUAAGUCGGAUGUGAAAGCUCGGAGCUCAACUCCGAAAUGGCAUUGGAAACUACCCUGCUAGAGGAUUGGAGGGGGGACUGGAAUACUUGGUGUAGCAGUGAAAUGCGUAGAUAUCAAGUGGAACACCAGUGGCGAAGGCGAGUCCCUGGACAAUUCCUGACACUGAGGCACGAAAGCUAGGGGAGCAAACAGG